CCUACGGGCGGCUGCAGUGGGGAAUAUUGGGCAAUGGACGCAAGUCUGACCCAGCAACGCCGCGUGAAGGAAGAAGGCUUUCGGGUUGUAAACUUCUUUUAAGGGGGAAGAGUAGAAGACGGUACCCCUUGAAUAAGCCACGGCUAACUACGUGCCAGCAGCCGCGGUAAUACGUAGGUGGCAAGCGUUGUCCGGAUUUACUGGGUGUAAAGGGCGUGCAGCCGGGCAGACAAGUCAGAUGUGAAAUCCUGAGGCUCAACCUCAGGACUGCAUUUGAAACUGUAUGUCUUGAGUAUCGGAGAGGUAAUCGGAAUUCCUAGUGUAGCGGUGAAAUGCGUAGAUAUUAGGAAGAACACCAGUGGCGAAGGCGGAUUACUGGACGACAACUGACGCUGAGGCGCGAAAGCGUGGGGAGCAAACAGGCUUAGAUACCCGGGUAGUC
rnacentral:rRNA from 1 species